CCUACGGGCGGCAGCAGUGAGGAAUAUUGGUCAAUGGACGAGAGUCUGAACCAGCCAAGUAGCGUGAAGGAUGACUGCCCUAUGGGUUGUAAACUUCUUUUAUAUGGGAAUAAAAUGUUCCACGUGUGGGAUUUUGUAUGUACCAUAUGACUAAGGAUCGGCUAACUCCGUGCCAGCAGCCGCGGUAAUACGGAGGAUCCGAGCGUUAUCCGGAUUUAUUGGGUUUAAAGGGAGCGUAGGUGGAUUGUUAAGUCAGUUGUGAAAGUUUGCGGCUCAACCGGAAAAUUGCAGUUGAAACUGGCAGUCGUGAGUACAGUAGAGGUGGGCGGAAUUCGUGGUGUAGCGGUGAAAUGCUUAGAUAUCACGAAGAACUCCGAUUGCGAAGGCAGCUCACUGGACUGCAACUGACACUGAGGCUCGAAAGUGUGGGUAUCAAACAGGAUUAGAUACCCUGGUAGUC
rnacentral:rRNA from 1 species